UAGAGUUUGAUCCUGGCUCAGGAUGAACGCUGGCGGCGUGCCUAAUACAUGCAAGUCGAACGCGCAGCGAGAGGUGCUUGCACCUUUCAAGCGAGUGGCGAACGGGUGAGUAACACGUGGAUAACCUGCCUCAAGGCUGGGGAUAACAUUUGGAAACAGAUGCUAAUACCGAAUAAAACUUAGUAUCGCAUGAUAUCAAGUUAAAAGGCGCUACGGCGUCACCUAGAGAUGGAUCCGCGGUGCAUUAGUUAGUUGGUGGGGUAAAGGCUUACCAAGACGAUGAUGCAUAGCCGAGUUGAGAGACUGAUCGGCCACAUUGGGACUGAGACACGGCCCAAACUCCUACGGGAGGCUGCAGUAGGGAAUCUUCCACAAUGGGCGCAAGCCUGAUGGAGCAACGCCGCGUGUGUGAUGAAGGCUUUCGGGUCGUAAAGCACUGUUGUAUGGGAAGAAAUGCUAAAAUAGGGAAUGAUUUUAGUUUGACGGUACCAUACCAGAAAGGGACGGCUAAAUACGUGCCAGCAGCCGCGGUAAUAAGGGCGAAUUC
rnacentral:rRNA from 1 species